rnacentral:lncRNA from 1 species
CCAACCUCAAGCUAUGCAAAUGUCAUGACUCCUUAGUCUACAAUAAGAGAAAUGACACUAUCGUUAUCGUUUUAGCAUCGUAAUUAUUAUGUAUCGGCCACAACCUAUUUCACAAUGAAAUGGAAAGCACCUCCCCUAUAUAUAUAACUUCACACAAGUCAAAACAAUCACAAACAACCCAACAUAUCUCUAUCACUUCAUACACAACACGACAACCAUAAUAGUAUCAAAUAAUCCGAAAAUGUUACGACGAACGACCAACAAACAACCUUGCCAUUAUGUGGUGUUUCUCUACACCCUUCCUCCUCUCAACUCUAUGAAAACAAUAGCAAAAGAGACAAACCAAUACCAACACAAAACCGCCUACAAAAUAGUCCCACAAGUUCAUCAGCUCAAAAGUAAUUUUUCAGUUUACUUAAACACGUUUCGACUUGUCUUUUCUCUCAAUUGAGAAACACAACCAAAAGUACAUAAUUAUACCUCUUAUCCAAUAAACCAGCCAUGAAUUCAACUUAAAAAUAAGUUCACAACCAGCCAACCAUUACACAAGAACAAACAACAUACCAUUCUUUCGAAACUAGCUAGGUCUAUUCUGUAUGAUCGAGUUACAACUCGCAAACGCAUAGAUAAUGGAAGGAUAAGCAUAAACGAACCUUGUACUGACUAUAAUCAACGAAACCUGGUCCUUCUUCAUCAAAAAUAAGUUCCUCAACAUGGCUACAAGAAGGAGAAAGAGAAACUAGCAAGCUGUUCGGACUUUUCAGCACUAGAAUCGCAUCGUAACACCCGGAGUACCCUAGGGUUUGUGUGGGAUUUUUGGGUAGGAGUUGCAGGGGCUCAAUUAGGUUUUCUUGGUCUGAAAGAUAGGUGAAAUAACUGUGUUGAUAGUUCCUUAAAUGACCCCUCUUGGCCGACUUUGGGGUUUUUAAUUGAGUCCUCUCAUUUUGGCAAGUAGGUGAUGCACCUACUAGUUACCUACCAGCCUGCGCAUUCUCGCAAAAGUACGAGUAUCUCUCUACUCUGACUCUGUAUCGACAAACAAUUUAAUGCUUUAGAAAACUAGAUGCAUAGAUCUUUAAUUUUGUUGGUAGAUCAUCCCCUAAUUCCAAGUAUAUUAGGAGAAAAGCUCAGUUACAUUUGACCUAAUUUUCAGCACAUUUAUGAAUAGAACUUGUGAUGACCUUUUCCAACUUUUGUUCCAUAACUCGCUUGACAUCAAAACAUAACACCAACUAUCAUACGACUAAAAUAACUCAUAUUAUAAUCUCCUUAUAAUGUUAAUAACCCUAGUUUCAUCCCAAAAGUACAUGGUAAAACAUUCCAACUUGUUGACUUUCGACGAAACUUAUUUUCUUCAAUUUGUUUAGCUUCUAAGCCUUUAAACCCUCUUGCUACUUGGGAUUAAUGAUCUUAAAUAUUUGUAACAUCCGUGUUAACAUGAUGAACUAAAUUUGUAAACUUUUCAAAGAUGAUUCCCUUUCUGAGCUUACAUUAAUUGACUUAUGCCGUACUCUUAUGUACGAAAACAUAUGGUGUAACAUCAUUCCCCCCUUUGGAAUACUCGUCCUCGAAUGUUGACUAAUGCGCUUAUCAGUCUCAUAACCCGUAGCUCUUAAGAAUACUUUAAUAUUGUCUUUGACAUCUAGGAAACUGUUCUGUAAAUAAAUCCAAAGGCCAGGGUAUUCCCCCCUUUAGGCCUCUUUCUCAUACCACAACUUGUGGUCGGAAUUUUUCCAAUCUCAUAAAUAUUGUUACCUUCUGACAUGCAUCAUGUACAGUUGUGUACUUGUAUGUGUGCCUAUGCGACUCUUCUCUCCUUUUUCCUCCAACUUUUAGCCAAUCUCUAGGCCUCACUUUAUGAACAUAUACAGAACUAUGACAAGAUGUCCCUCAAGGCAUAUAUAGGUGUACUAAAGUUCUUCGCUUGGUACUUUAUCGAACUUACGACUAUUGCUAUAUCUUGUUUCAUAGCCUUGUAUAUCUAUCCUUAUGGCUUUUCUACAUCUAGGUAGGUUAUACUAUACCAUAACACUUACUUUUGUUUAUUUUUAUCGAGGUUUGCUACCCAACUCCAGGUUAUUCUCUCGCUACUUAUCCUAUAUGUAUAAAUCUAAGUCAUUUAAUGCUUCCUUAUUAAUGUUCAUCUAAAUAAUGGCAUCAUAAUCUCCUCUCAUAUUUUGGAACUCUUAUCCAUCUAUUAUUGAUUCACCUUAAUGUUGAUCUAUAAUCCACCACUAAUAACUUGAAACCUCUUACGUAAUACAUUGUCACUAGGGCUCACGUCUCAUCGAGGAACAUCUGAAGUGGCUUUCCUUAUCCACCUAGGGACAAUACCAUACUUCAAUAACCUUAUUUUAUAGCAUCCCAAUGUGAUUCGUCUUAUAUUCUAAUCCUGUGCCAUCCAUGAAAUCUCUUCUCUUUGAAUCAUUACUCAAUUGAAGGCCUAAAUAUCAUCCUUUUAUUAUUUACCACAAUUACACCCUUACAUUACGACUAGGGAAGCAUUCUAUCUCUUCUAAAUGCUCCUAGUCUUAGAAUCCUCCGUGUUAAUUCAAGCUAUACUGAGCUUUUUAUAACAUACAUAAACCAUCAUCUCUCUUGUUUGAUGGGCUUAAUACCAAGGUCUUACCUAUUCUUGUCAACUCCUAACUUAGCUUUUCUUAUCCUUACUCCCAUAUACCUAAAGUCUUGUCACUCUGCCAUACUUUAGCUUGCGACCUACAUAUAUCUAUUUGUAAUACUCACAUCCUUCCUUUAACUUGCUAGCACCACAGAUUUCCUUUUGUGCCUUCUCAGUUGUCUUUAAAUGUAAGCAAUUACUUUUCCUGGCCGUUCUGCCAUUUGUUGCAUGAAUACUUGGCUUGUCUUAUUGCCCACGAAUACUAUAAUUUCAUGUACCUCAUAUGAUCUCAAACAUCACCUUUGAUUUGUUUUCCCAUUCAUUAGCCAUUAUAGGCACCACUUUCUUAUGGAGUGCAUCCAAUGUUGUAGUGAGACUAUUGUUACCAGACCAAUUCUUCUUCAAGUUAAUAUGCUUAGGUUGAAGCCCUUUUCCUUAUUUCCUGAGCUAGUCUUUCGUGGUAGUACUUAGGAGACUUUCUGGAUCUUGUAAAGUUGCGAGCUUGAUAUAUCGUACACCUGAAGGAAAUUUUCGUUGUUCUUACUCGCCUAUAAUAAUCCUUAGUUAAAUAACUUUGUGCCCUUGUGCUCGUAGGGUUACUUCUAAGCUCAAAUUUUCAUUGUCUCUUUAGUGGUACUCUCUCUUAUUUUCAUAAAACUUAAACGGUACCUUUAACUGCCUCAACUCCUAUCUAAAUUUUUUUAGAUGAUUGUGAUCUCAUAUCUAUGAGACUAAAUUCCCUAUGAUGUGGUUCAAUACAUUUAUAUUGCAUGAUCUUUUAAUUUAUCUGUGACCUCUUGUUUAGCCAUAACCGGGCUCUUCCUGAAUCAACUACUAAUUACUCGUUGGUCCAUUCUCAUAUAUAUAUUUCGCAUAAGCUCUCUUGGGAUAUAUCCUUUGUCUUAACUUACCUCUCGCCACUAGCUCCUGAUGUUUCAAGUGUCCAUUCACACUUAUUUAUCAAUAACAUCCUGGCUGAAAACUUUUACUACCUUUCCCCGGUAUCGUGCUUGUAUAAAGUUCUGGAGUCACAACAUAUCUGUAGGAACUGAAUAAAUGCAACAUCAUCCCUUUCUCCUUUUCACCACAUUCUUCCUUUACCAUUCCAUAGUUACCUAGACCGCUUAACUCCGACUUAAUACCAUAUCAUACCACAUUCCCUCCUUUAGGGGAGUACUAAGAUUUAGUACUAUGAUGAUCUAGCUAUAGAUGUUUUACCUCUUCAUCUUUGGCGUCUUUUCACAUUAUAAAUGAACCUUAAUCGCCUUAUGGUAAUUUUUUGUACCAGGGAUAACUAAAUUUCUUAUGCAGAAGGUGACACCUAGUGUAAUUGGCACAUUUAGUCCCUUAAGCUUAACUUUGCUCACAUUGCUCGCUUUAGGGAAACCUCUUCCUGAAUGACCUUUAAAGGUUAUUCUUCUAUUGUCCAUUUUAUUAUUGUUGGAACACGAUCUCCGAAAUUCUUAUGAGGCUGACUAUUACCAAAUACUUCGAUCCCUAAUUCAUGUUCAGUUUAUCUUAUUCUCCAUCCCAUACUGAUUUCUAUUACUCCGGGGUCUAAUCUUUCCUUAUGGUAAUCACGUUAGAGUCACCAAAUCAUUUCUCGAAAUGGGAAUAUGACUUUAUGUCUUAUACUCUUUUAUUGUCUUAAGUCCUGUCACCUCUUAUAUCUUCCUUCACUUGACUAUAAACUUUAUCAUCAUGUCGUAUUUUGAUUUACUGUUAUCACCCAUUUAUUACAUCUUACUCAUAAUGCUUUAUUUACUCUCUUCUUAUUCUCCGGCUAAUAUUUCUGUCUAUCACUUUAUUCUGAUAACUUCAACAAAUCAUUCUUUCACUUUUAGCUCCCCUUGCUUCAUCUCACUGGCUCUUUAGGUCACCUAGCAUUCUCUCUUUACUAGGAACGGGAGCCAUACAAAGGUAAAUAUUUAUCCCUUCUAGGAUUUCAGUGCCAAUCUUCUAAAAUUUCUGAACAUUCAUGUAUUCAUAUAUGAUUGUACUAUACUAUGGUGCACCAUCUGGGUGUCUCACAAGGAGAUCUGUUACCACGUUUUCACUAUCCGUCAAAAAUGUUAGCUAAUGAUAACAAUCCAUCUACAAAUUUGGGCUACUCUAACCCCAGCUGGAUCCUAAUAUCCCAUUCUUCUUUUAAACUAUAUUUGUUAGCUCCCAUAGGGCAUAAUUUCGAUGGGCGUGGCCAAUUGUACAUACCUCUGUUGCUGUUGAAUGUAACUCAUAAUACAUAUAUUUCUCUGCCUGAAUUGUAAAACUCAAAACCUUCACUAACUGGUACCUCGUAAUCUUUGUCACCUUGCUUCUUUUAUUUGUUGAAACUUGUAUCUACCUUCUGAUUCUCUUGUUGAUUUUUAAACCAUAUGGGUGGAUAGAUAUUCACGCCUUACGCCUGCUUAUCAAUAAACUUUCACGCUUUAGUACACAUAUAAUCUACUGAAGACCUUACAUUUACUCAUCAUAAGCAUGAUACAAAUUUAUGUUUCAUUGACUCAACUCUUCCAUAACAAAGUUUCUCUUACCUACUAUCUGUUUGGAUGAGGAAUCAUUGUGUUACAAAUAAAAUAGAAUUUACAAGUUUGAAUUCUUACAAUUGUGCUCUACCACACGAUCUAGAGUAAGAAGAAAGAGUGACAGUAAUAAAUGCCCUGCAGCCUCCUACUUAUAAGUGUAGUGCACUACACACCCAUAAAUAAGACUCUACUAGACACGGCUUGUAGACUCCCUAGAACAGAACUGCUCUGAUACCACUUCUGUCACGACCCAAAUUGGAGGGCCGCAAUGGGCAUCCGGUGCCUUACCCAACCGAGUACCAACAUAACGUAUUCUUUCUUAUCAUACCAUUAUGGGUAAAUAGGAUGGAAGGGUCGUCAUGAUAUAACCAGAAUGAAACAUAAGGGAAUACUCAACAUAGGAUGACCCAACAUGAUAUACAACCUUAUACACGUGACAUGCCUAUAAGACCAAAAUGAACACUCGUACAUUGAACAUAUGUUGACAAGGCCAUACAAUCUUUCAUAUGCAUGACAUCUGUCUACAAGCCUCUAAGAGCACACACAUAUUAUAAGGUCGGGGCAGGACCCUGCCAUACCAAUGAAUACAUGUCCAAAUCAUAUUGACCAAAUAGGCAACUCCGGAGAAAGUGUUGUGCACCAACACCUUCUGUUGAGCUAAUAGCCUACUAGGAUGUCAACCUAUCUAUCGGGACCUGUAGCAUGAAAUACAGUGUCCCCAGGCAAAAGGGACAUCAGUAUAAAUAAAGUACCGAGUAUGUAAGGCAGGAAAACAUAAAUAAGAACAGUAAUGUAAAGAGAGAUAGAGGAGAUACAACCUGUAACAUCUGAGUGCCUCUAGGGGCUACUGACAUGAAAUGCAUAAUACAUAUAUAUACAUAAACUUUUUAAAAGCAUACGUCUUUGUGGGCAUCAUCAUCAUCACAUCGUACCCGGCCUCAAAGAGGACCUGGUAAAAAAAACGUACCCGGCCAUCAUAAGGCUCAGUAGAAUCGGACCCGGCCACGUGGAGCUCGGUAAUCCCAACCGAUUAGUUGUUGCACAAUAGGUGUCGUACUCGGCUGACUAUAGCGCACCUCGGUAGAGUAAAAUAGAUACAUAUAUAUAAUGCAUGCUCGACUCAUGGAAUCAUGCUCUAAACCUUUUAGAGUGAUGUAUGGUCAGUAUCCUCUGUACACAUUAUCAGGACUAACUCUUCACUAUGAACCUUAUAAGAAUCAGGAAGUAUCAACAACAUUGAUAACAUAAGAAUAAGAGAAGCAACAUCAACAUCAAUUGUUCCAUAAGAGGGGAAACAAUUUAAGUACUGCUAGCUUCUAAGAGUAGAGUAUCUUUGGAAGAUCGUUCAUUACAUUACGUACAAUCGGAGUCAUGCAAAAGAAGGAAAAGGAUAGCCUCACAUACCUUGUAUAUGUACUGCCCAACCUCAAGCUAUGCAAAUGUCAUGAUUUCUUAGUCUACAAUAAAAGAAAUGACACUAUCGUUAUCGUUUUAGCAUCGUAAUUAUUAUGUAUCGGCCACAACCUAUUUCACAAUGAAAUGGAAAGCACCUCCCCUAUAUAUAUAACUUCACACAAGUCAAAAAAAUCAGAAACAGCCCAACAUAUCUCUAUCACUUCACACACAACACGACAACCAUAAUAGUAUUAAAUAAUCCGAAAAUAUUACGACGAACGACCAACAAACAACCUUGCCAUUAUGUGGUGUUUCUCUACAUUAUUCCUCCUCUCAACUCCAAAAAAAAGUAGCAAAAGAGACAACCCAAUACCAACAUGAAACAACCCACAGAACAGUCCCCUAAGUUUAUCAACUCCAAAGUAAUUUUUCAGUUUACUUAAACACCUUUCGACUUGUCUUUUCUCUCAAUUGAGAAAAACAACCAAAAGUACAUAGUUAUACCUAUUAUCCAAUAAAACAACCAUGAAUUCAACUUAAAAAUAAGUUCACAAUCAGCCAACCAUUACACAAGAAUAAACAACAUACCAUUCUUUCGAAACUAGCUAGGUUUAUUAUUUACGAUCGAGUUACAACUCACAAACGCAUAGAUAAUGGAAGGAGAAGCAUAAAAUUACCUUGUACUGAGUAUAACCCACGAAACCUGGUCUGUCUUCAUCAAAAAUAAGUUCCUCAACACGGCUACAAGAAGGAGAAAGAGAAACUAGCAAGCUGUCUGGACUUUUCAGCACUAGAAUUGUGUCGUAACACCCGGAAUAUCCUAGGGUUUGUGUAGGAUUUUUGGGGAGGAGUUGCAAGGAUUCAAUUAGGUUUUCUUGUUCUUAAAGAUAGGUGAAAUAACUGAGUUGAUAGUCCCUUAAAAGACCCCUCUUGGCCGACUUUGAGGCUUUUAAUUGAGUCCUCUCAUUUUGGCAAGUAGGUGAUGCACCUACUUGUCACCUACCAUCCUGCGCAGUCUCGCAAAAAUACGAGUAUCUCUCUACUCCGACUUCGUAUCAACAAACAAUUUAAUGCUUUAGAUACUAGAAUCAUAGAUAUUUAAUUUGGUAUGUAGAUCAUCCCCUAAUUCCAAGUAUAUUGGGGAAAAAGCUCAGUUACAUUUGACCUAAUUUUCAGCACAUUUAUGAAUGAAACUUGUGAUGAUCUUUUCCAACUUUUGUUUCAUAACUCGCUUGACUUCAAAACAUAACACCAACUAUCAUACGACUAAAAUAACUCAUAUUAUAAUCUCCUUAUAAUGUUAAUAACCCUAGUUUUACCCCAAAAGUACAUGGAAAAAUAUUCCAACUUGUCGACUUUUGACGAAACUUAUUUUCUUCAAUUUGUUUAGCUUCUUAGCCUUUAAACCCUCUUGCUACUUGGUAUUAAAUAUCUUAGAUAUUUGUAACCUCCACGUUAACAUGAUGAACUAACUUUAUAAACUUUUCAAAGAUGAUUCCCUUUUUGAGCUUACAUUAAUUGACUUAUGACGUUCUCUUACGUACGAAAAUAUGGGGUGUAACAAUACCAUUCGUGAGCGACUGUCCAUUUGAGUUUGUGUGUGGUGGUGAAUUUCACAUGGUUGAUUAACGUAUCUUCACUCCCACCAAUGAUCAUUUGUAUAGUACGAGAUGGUGAUAGUGGUUUUAGAGGUCCCUAAGGUUGAUCGCGUCCACGAGAAAAGUUGGCCCAUCCUCGAUUGCUCAGCAGUUCUUUCAGGUAUCACUUGUUUAACAUUCUUACCACUUUCUGUCGCAAACAUAUGCAGUCCUCGGUCUUGUGUCCCCUUUUAUGAUGGAAUUUACAUAGAACAUUCGAUCUCCUCGUGCUCGGAUUCGACUUCAUCUUGUGCGGCCACUACACCUUUGUGGCGAGCUUUUCCAGUGCGUACACUAUUUCUGAAGGAGAAAUACAAAAGUUAUGAGUAGAUAAUAGUGGAGGCAUACCUCUUUCAUUUCAGGGUGGUGCGAUGUGUCGAGGCGCACCAUCUAUAUGUCGUGGAGGAGGUGGGUUGGAUUUUCGGAUAUAGGGCUGGUGCCUUUCUCAAUUGAAACGUGGUAGUUGGUCCCUUCAGCCGUCAUUGCGGUGAUCUCUCCUUGUCUCUGUCUGGACCGAGGUUAGUCAUUGGAUCGGACCGUUCAGGCCAUCCUCAUCUGCCCUCACUUCGGCUCAAUAGGCAUUAUGGAUCUCUUCCCACGUGGUGGGGGGUACUUCAUGAGUCUACUUAGCAGCUUUUUGGUUGCUUUUGACCCAUUUCUAUUUAACCCAUUUUGAAAGGCUGCUACCGCCAUACUUUCUGACACGUUUGGUAUGCUCAUCCUUACCCUGUUGAAUCGGGCUAGGAAAUCCCGAAGUCCUUCAUCUGUCGUUUACCUGACAACGAAGAUAUCAUUUACCCUGGCCUCUGCCUUUUUCGCUCCUGCGUGAGCGGUGACUAACUUAUCUGCCAUUUCUUCGAACGUUCAUAUCGAUCGUGCUGGUAGUUGGGAAUACCAUAUCAACGCUCCUCUUUUCAGAGUUUUGCCAAACUUUUCAGCAGUACUGACGGCACCUGUUCUUUUGAUAGAUCGUUACCUUUUACUAUAGUAACGUAAUGGAUUAAGUGAUCCUCCGGGUCUGUGGUGGCAUCAUAUAUUUUUAGAUAUGGCAGCAUUUUGAAGGUUUUUAGAAUAGAGUGGGAAGCUGCCCCUUCACUAUAUGGUUGUUCGACGAAUCGGCCCACGUCACGUUUUGGUAGCAACUUCGGAGCGCCCGAUAUUUUAUCAACCCUUUCCUGAUGCUCUUUCAUCUGUCGUAGAGUGUUUUGUUCUCAUUUUCCAUCUCUUCCAUUUUCAUUAAGAUGGUCGCAAGUGCAUUGUUGCUUGCAUCAGCGACCGUAUGGGCGUUACUUGUUCGUGUAAUUUCUGGCUCAUCGACGACAGUUGCGGUUUCUGCGGGUAAUGUGUCUUCGAUAUCCCUCUAUACGGGUUUCUCGAGUAUGUUGCUCAAGAUAUUUGUCAGCCAUUCUUCUAAUAGCCUUUUCACGGCUGGUGGUACUUCUCUUGCUGUGGAUGUUAAGGUUUCCCUCUCGCGCGAGACAGUUAAACCCUCUUGGGGGGGUGUGAGAUCUCUCCCUCAGGUGUAGCACUUGAUGUUGCGUUUUUGUUGUCUUCUCCAUUGGCAUCAUUGAGGGAAUUCAGGAGGUUGUUCGUGACACCUACUAUUGCAUUUAGCCUUGUUUCUCCCUUUCCUGCAAUUGUUAGCCUUUGUAAGACUAAAAAGAGGUUAUUAUUUCUUUCAAGAAUCUAGACAAAACUAAGAUCUCAGCUAUAGAAAUCCCCACAGACGGCGCCACAUUGUUUGACUCAAAAGAUAUCGAAAUCUUUUUGAAUAAAUCAAUCAAAGAAAAUGAAGGGGUAAAUCUUAUCUAUGUAUAAUAAUCUCUAGAAAGAAAGAUAGAUAAGGGGAAUACGGAUGAUAAGAAUUCUUUAUCCCAUCUAGACCAAAAGACCUUUCACAAUAAUCUUCUCAAUCUUUUAUGUAAGCAAGUUUACAGCAAGUAUUAUGGAUUAGCAAAAGUGCCUGCCCUUACAAAGUUGUUUCAUGCUAUAUAUAUAUAUAUAUAUAUAUAACGNNNNNNNNNNNNNNNNNNNNNNNNNGUGCAGAUCCAGGUUCUUCUGCUCAGCCAUUCUACCAGUGAGGCGGGCGAUACCAGAGACUUCGAGGUAUAUAUGUCGCGUCCGCAAAUCUAGAAGUCCCUCUCUAUUCUCCCCUCUAGCUUUAGACUUCCUGUACUUACUUUUGAUUAGACAUUCUAGAGUUAGAACACUAUAUAGUUUUUCUACAGUUUGUGAUUUCAUGAGAUUCUGGGUUUUGGGAGUUUGAUUCAAUUUUGAGAGUAUGUAUUGUAUAUGCCGAGCGGCAUUUCCAAACUCUUUACUUAUAUUUUUACUCGUAACUUGCCAGUUUCGUAUUUCAUUUCCUUUUUCCGCAAUUUGUUAGGCUUACCUAGUUGUAGAGACUAGGUAUAGUCACGACAGUUCACGGAGGGAGAACUAGGGUCUUGAAAAGUUAGUAUCAGAGAUCUAGGUUCAUAGAAUGUCAUGAAUCGCAAGCCGAUUUAUUAGAGUCUCACGGAUCGGUACGGAGACGUCUGUACUUAUCUAUGAGAGGCUAUGUAACUAUUAGGAAAAUUCCACUUCAUUUGAUUUCCUUGUUAUGUAAGAGUUUUGAUAUCAAAAUUCUAAACCUCUAUCUUCUAUUCUCUCACAGAUGGCGAGGACACGUGCUACCGGAGAUGAACAGGAACCCGCACCCCCUACUAGAUCCAUCAGUGGUCGGGGCUGGGGUAGAGGCCAAGGACGUGCACGUGGUGCAGCCAGAGCACCCUCGCGAGCUGCCAUAGAGGAGCCACUAGCAACUCCAGCCGGAGCCCAAGCACCUGACACGCCUACUGCUACUACUACUACUCCAGCUCUUCAGGAGACCUUUGCACAGUUCGUGAGCAUGUACACCACUCUAGCUCAGGCAGGGUUAAUUCCCCUUGCUGCAGCCACAUCCCAGGAAAGGGAGGAGCCUAGACUCCCGCCUCCCAUACCCCAGAGCAGCGAGUCCUGGUUAAUUAGAUCCCAGAGGUUAUACCGGUACCGUCUGCAGCCCCAGUUAAGCCCGAGGAUAGGGCAGCAGCUUCGGAGGAUGAGCAGCGGAGGCUUUAGAUGUUCAAGAAGUACAAGCCUCCUAUAUUCAGUGGUCUAGCAUAAGAUGAUGCUCUGGUAUUUCUGGACAAGUUCUAACGUAUCCUCCGCACUAUGGGUAUAUCAGGAUCGAGUGGGGUUUACUUCAGUACCUUCCAUCUUCGAGGAGCAGCGUACCAAUGGCGGCGUACUUAUGAGUUGGAAAGACCAGCUGAGGCACCUUCCCUUAUAUGGACCUAGUUUUCAGAUAUAUUUUGAGGGAGUAUGUUCCUCAAAGCCUUAGGGAUGCAUGACGCGCUAAGUUUGAGCAUUUGCGCCAAGGUGCUAUGAUAGUUUCGGAGCAUGCUGUCCAUUUCACUGACUUGGCUAGGCAUGCAAAAGCCUUGGUUUCUACAGUUCGUGAGAGAGUUCACCGGUUUAUUGAGGGGCUCAUUCCUAGCAUCAAGUCUAGCAUGGCUCGGAAGUUGGAGAUAGAUAUCUCUUAUCAGCAGGUGGUGAGCAUUUCUAGGAGAGUAGAGGGUAUGCAUGCUUGGGAUAGAGAGGAUAGGGAAGCCAAGAGGUCUCGAGGGUCGGGUCAUUAUUCUGGUGCCCGUGCCCCAGUUGCAGUUCAUCAUGGUAGGGGUUAUAUGAGUCGCCCUGUUUAUUCAGCUCUUCUAGCAGCCAGUGGUAUUCCAGCUCCUCCUAGACCCAAAGAGCCUUAUUAUGAACCUCCAGUAUCUAGGCCUCCUACAUGGGGUGCUUUCAGUGGUUAGUCCAGCAGAACUUGAGCGAGCCAGUCACAGCCGCCACUUCCUCCCAGAGCUUGUUUUGAGUGUGGUGACACACACCAUAAGGUGAGAGAUUGCCCCAGACUUAGGAGGGGUGCACCUCCACAGACUUCUGAGCCAUAACAUGCUUCGUAGAGUUCUCAUGCUAUGAUUACAGCACUAGUUGUUGCCCCACCUACCCAACCAGAUAGAGGGGAGGUCGGGGAGGUAGAGGUCUCCCUAGAGGGGGAGGCCAAGCUAGAUAUUAUGCCAUUCCUGCCCAUACUGAGGUUGUCGCCUCCAAUUCUGUCAUCACAUGUAUUGUACUGGUUUAUCAUAUAGAUGCAUCAGUUUUAUUCGAUCUAGGCUCCACUUAUUCUUAUGUGUCCUCUUAUUUUGCCUCGUAUUUGGGCGUACCUCGGAAUUUUUUGAGUUCCCCUGUUUAUGUUUCUACUCCCGUGGGAGAUUCUCUUAUUGAGGACCACGUUUAUCAGUCAUGUUCGAUUGCUCUUAGUGGUUUUGAGACUAGAGCCGAUCUAUUAUUGCUCACCAUGGUAGAUUUAGAUGUUAUCUAGGGCAUGGACCGGUUGUCACCCUAUUAUGCUAUUCUUGCUUGUCUCGCCAAAACCUUGACAUUGGCUAUGCCAAAUGUACUGCGAGUAGAGUCAAGGGGUACCUUAGAUCACACUCCCAGUAGAGUUUUUUCAUUCCUUAAGUCUCAGCGAAUGGUUGACAAGGGUUGUGGCGCAUAUCUAGCUUACGUGACAGAUAUCAGUAUUUAUACCCCUAUAGUUGAUUGAGUCCCAGUAGUAUGGGAUUUCCUUGAUGUGUUUCCAACUGAUCUUCCGGGUAUGCCACCCGACAGCGAUAUUGAUUUCGGCAUUGAUUUGUUGUCGGUCACUCAGCCUAUUUUCAUUCCUCCUUAUCAUAUGGCCCCUCCUGAGUUAAAGGAGUUGAAGGAUAAGUUACAGGAAUUGCUCGAUAAGUGUUUUAUUCAGCCCAGUCACCUUGGGGUGCUCUUGUCUUGUUUGUGAAGAAAAAGGAUGGUUCUAUGCGUAUGUGCAUUGAUUAUCGCCAGUUGAACAAAGUUACAGUGAAGAACCAGUAUCCUUUGACUCGUAUUGAUGAUUUGUUUGACCAGUUAUAAGGUGCUCGAGUGUUUUAUAAGAUUGACUUGCGUUCAGGUUAUCAUUAGUUGAAGAUUCGAGAGCCAGAUAUCCCGAAGACUGCUUUCAAGACUCGGUAUGGUCAUUACGAGUUCCUUGUUAUGUCAUUUGGGCUGACCAAUGCCCCAGCAGCCUUUAUGCAUUUGAUACACAACAUUUUCUGCCAUAUCUUGACUCGUUCAUCAUUGUCUUUAUUGAUGACAUUCUGGUAUACUCCUAGAGUCGGGAGGAUCAUGAGCAGCACCUGAGGACAACGCUUCAGACUUUGAGAGAAAAGAAAUUAUAUGCAAAUUUCUCAAAAUGUAAGUUUUAGUUGGAUUCCGCGAAAUUCUUCGAUCACGUGGUAUCGAAUGAAGGGAUCAAGGUGGAUACAAAGAAGGUGGAGGCGGUAUAGAGUUGGCCCAGACCAUCCUCAACUAUAGAGAUCCGUAGUUUUCUUGGCUUGGCGGGUUAUUACCAUCGAUUUGUUUAGGGAUUUUCAUCUAUUGUAGCACCUAUGACCAAACUGACCCAGAAGGGUGCUCCGUUCCAGUGGACGGAAGAGUGUGAGGAGAUCUUCCAGAAGCUCAAGACAACUUCAGUAUGAUGACCCUCAUUUGCUUAUCCUCAUAGACAAGGUUCUGCAUGGUGAUGCUAGAGAUGUGACCAUUGGUGAUGAUGGUGUAUUGAAGAUGCAAGGUCGAGUAUGUGCACCCAAUGUUGAUGGGCUUCAAGAGUUGAUUCUAGAGGAAGCCCACUGUUUGCGGUAUUCCAUCCAUCUGGGUGCCGCAAAGAUGUACCAAAAUUUGAGACAUCACUAUUGGUGGAGGCGGAUAAAGAAUGAUAUAAUUGGAUUUGUAGCUAGGUGCCUCAAUUGUCAUCAGGUAAAGUAUGAGCACCAGAGACCAGGUGGUUUGCUUCAGCAGAUAGAUAUUCUGGAGUGGAAGUGGCAGCGGAUCACCACGGAUUUCGUAGUUGGACUCUCACAAACUUUGAGAAAGUUCGAUGCCAUUUGGGUGAUUAUGGAUCGGCUGACCAAGUUUGUGCAUUUCAUCCUUUGUGUACCACCUACUCUUCGGAACGGUUGGCGGUGAUUUAUAUCCAGAAGGCUAUUUGUCUGCAUGGUAUUCCAGUUUCCAUCAUUUUAGAUAGAGGUACUUAGUUUACAUCACGGUUCUGGAGGGCCGUACAACAUGAAUUGGAUACUUCGGUGGAGUUGAGCAUAGCAUUUCACCCCCAGACAGACUGACAGUCCGAGCGCACAAUUCAGAUUUUUAAGGGUAUGCGUCGUGCGUGUGUGAUGGAGUUUGGAGGUUCUUGGGAUCAGUUCUUGCCACUAGUGGAGUUUGCCUACAAAAACUGUUAUUAGUCCAACAUUCAGAUGGCACCGUAUGAGGCCUUGUAUGGUAGGCGGUCUAGAUCCCCGGCGGGUUGGUUUGAGCCAGGUGAGGCUAGAUUAUUAGGCACAUACUUGGUUCAAGACGCCUUGGAGAAGGUUAAGGUGAUAUAGGAUAGACUUCGCACAUCCCGGUCCAGAUAGAAGAGUUAUGCGGACCAGAAGGUUCGUGAUGUUUCCUAUAUGGUUGGAGAGCAGGUCUUGCUUCGGGUUUCGCCUAUGAAGGGCGUCAUGAUAUUUGGGAAGAUGGGGAAAUUGAGUCCGGCUUUUAUUUGUCCUUUUGAGGUAUUAUGACGUGUUGGGGAGGUUUCUUAUGAGCUUGCCUUACCUCCCAGCUUGGCAGGAGUUCAUCCGAUAUUUCAUAUUUCGAUGCUUAGAAAGUAUCACGGUGAUCCGUCACAUGUGUUGGAUUUCAGUUCAUUCCAGUUGGACAAGGAUUUAUCUUAUGUGGAGGAUCCAGUGGCGAUAUUGGGUAGGCAAGAUCGAAAGUUGAGGUCAAAGAACAUUGCAUCAAUGAAGGUUCAGUGGCGGGGUCAGCCGGUCGAUUAGGCGACUUGGGAGACCGAACGGGAUAGCGCAGUCAUUACCCUCUUCUUUUCACUACUUCAGAUAUGUUUCUAUGCUCGUUCGAGUACGAACGAAUGUUUUAAGCGGGGGAGGAUGUAACGAUCCGGCCAGUUUUUUUGAGAAUUAACGCCUUGAUCCCCUAUUAACUGCUUUCCCCGGGUUUAUUGUUGCUAUUGUGAGUUGCCGGGAAGUUUUGAGUUUCGAAGUGUUUUGGGACACGUAGUCCCUCAAUGAGAUCUUAAGCUUUAGAAUUUGGACCGUAGUCGGAGCAGUGUGACGACGUCCUCGAAGUGGAAUUCGUAGAUUCUGUUAGCUUCGUUAAGUGAUUUCGGGAUUAAGGGCGUGUUCGGAUUGUGUUUUGGAGGUCUGUGGCUUAUUUAGGCUUGAAAUGCUGAAAGUUGAAUUUUUGAAGUAUUCAGAUUGAUAGUGAGAUUUUUAUAUCGGGGUCAGAAUCCAAUUCCGAAAGUUGGAAUAGCUCUGUAGUGUUGAAUGUGACUUGUGUGCAAAAUUUGGGGUCAAUCAGACAUGGUUUAGUUGGUUUCAGCAUCGGUUGUAGAAUUCUUGAGAUUUCAAGUUCAUUAGGCAUGGAUUGGAGGGUGAAUCAUGGUUUUAGCGUUGUUUGAUGUGAUCUGAGGUUGGAUUAAAUUUGUAUGAUGUUUUAGGAUUGGUUGGCAUGUUUGGUUGAGGUCCCAAGGGCCUCACGUGAGUUUCGGGUGUUUAAUGGAAUUAGAUUUGGACUUAGGCAUUUUCUGAUAUUGCUGAAUCUAUCAUAACCGCACCUGCGUAUGUGGGACGGCAAGUGCGGGACUGCAGAAGCGGCUUGAUGAUCGUAGAAGCAGAUUUAGGCUAGGGCUUCAGGAAUCGCAGGUGCGGCUGGCUGACCGCAAAUGCGGAACCACAGAUGCGGCCAAGUGACCGCAAAUGCGUCCCCAGCCCGGUUAAGUGAAUUUCGCACCUGCGAUGCCUUUUCCGCAGGUGCGUCCCCCCUGACGCAUAUGCGGUAAUCGCUCGGCAGAUAUAGAACUUUUGAGAGUUUGAAGUUCAUAACAUUAAAUUUGAUUUUAGCUCGGGAGAAGGCGAUUUUGAGAGGGUUUUGAAGAGGAAAUCAGUGGGUAACGAUUCCUAACCCUAUUUCGUUUAUAUUUUAUCAAUCUAUUGUUGUUUUACACAUUUAAUCUAAGAAUUUGAGUGGAAGAAUGGGGAUUUGGGGGACAAGUUCCCCAAUUGAAAAUUCGAGUUUUGAGUAAGAUUUGGAGUCGGAUUUUGAUGAUUUUUGUUUGAGUGUGCUCGUGAGUGAAUGGGUGUUCAUAAUUUCUGACUUUUACCCGAUUCCGAGGCUUGGGCCUGGGGAGGAUUGUCGGGCGUUUUUCUAUUUCCUUACCUUAGCUUCGAUUCCUUUAGCUAAAUUUGUUGUUUGUUAUAUUUACAUUAUUAAAUUUAUUUAAUUAGAUUUGGCCCACUAAGAGUUGGAUAAUCGUUGCAAGAGCGUGAUUUCAGAUUUAUUUUGAGUUGGUUCGAGGUAAGUGGUUUGCCUAACCUUGUGUGGGGUGACUCUCCUUAGAAUUUUGGUAUUGUUGUUAUAUGAGUGUCGUAUACGUGAGGUGACGAGUGUGUAAACGUGCUAAUUGUUGAAAAACUCCAUUUUCAUUAAGUAAAUAUCUGCGUUUUCUUCUAAUUGAGAAAUUCUUGUACUUGAAGCCUCUUGUUUAGUUUAGGAAAAGCAUGCUCAUGUGAUCUAAUUGUCUUACUUGCUUUAUCUGCUUACUUGUAUUUUGUGAAACAUGUUUAGAGUAGAAUUCCUAUUUAUUUUCGAAUAGAAUUGUAGGUUCUUUCUUGAGACUGUUGUUUGUUUACUUUGGGACUACGGGACGAUAUCCCGGGAGAUGCCCCUGCAUGUUUACUUUGGGACUACAGAUCGGUAUUCUGAGAGAUCCCCCUGCACGUUUACAUUUGGGACUACGGGACAAUACCCGGAAGAUUCUCCUGUACUAGAUAUUUACUUUGGGCCUACGGAUUGGUAUUCCGGGAGAUUCUCCUACAUAUUUAUGAUUCGGGCUACGAGACGAUAUCAUAGGAGAUCCUCUACACAAUUACAUUAGGAAUUAUGGGACGAUAUCCUCGGAGAUCCCUUGUUGCUAUCUCUAUGUACUGAGUAUAUUAUGUCUGUGAUUUUACUCUUUAUCAAUUGUUAGUAUUUUUAAUUAUACCGUAGCACUUCAUACUAUUUUACCUUGUUUUAUAUGUAUAUAACCAAUAGGGCCCUGACCUUCCUCGUCACUACUCGACCGAGGUUAGGCUUGACACUUAGUGUGUAUCGUUGUAGUGUACUCAUGCCCUUUCCUCCACAUAUUUUUUGUGUGCAGAUCCAGGUUCUUCUGCUCAGCCGUUCUACUAGUGAGGCAAGCGAUAUCAGAGAUUUCAAGGCAUAUCUGCCGCAUCCGCAGAUCCAGAAGUCCAUCUCUAUUCUCCCCUCUAGCUUUAGACAUUCUGUAUUUACUUUUGAUUAGAUAUUCUGGAGUUAGAACACUAUAUAGUUUUUCUACAGCUUGUGAUUUCAUGAGAUUCCGGGUUUUGGGAUUUUGAUUCGGUUUUGAGAUAACGUAUUGUAUAUACCGAGCGGCAUUUUCAAACUCUUUACUUAUGUUUUUACUCGUAACUUGCCAGUUUUGUAUUUCAUUUCCUUUUUUCAAAAUUUGUUAGGCUUACCUAGUUGUAGAGACUAGGUGCCGUCACGAAAGUUCAUGGAGGAUGAACUAGGGUCAUGACAGUUUCACUGGCAAAGUCUUGGAACAAUCUAUCAAAAUGCUUCUGUGCUUCUCCAUCAGACGGCUGGUGCAGCACACCAUCUAGCCUUCUAUAUUCAUAGCGCUAUCUCAUAUGAGGAGCGGAACUCAUUGAUGUAUAAUACCUCUUUAACCUUAGUAUAAGGGGUAAGUAGUGCAUCAACUUCAAUGGAACCUUCUUCUAUUUAGCAUUUGUGACAUCAUUGAAAUAAGGCAGGUUAAAAAAUGUAUUAUUUUCUAAAGCUUCAUCAUCCUUAUAGAAUAACAUGCAACCUUUAUUACAACAAUCAAUCCUCUUCGAUGAAAGACUCAACUUGGAAACUAAUUUCUUUGCCGUGUAAAAAUCUUUGGGCAGGUAAAUCUUUGUCGGAUUAAGUUCAUUCAUAAGGCCAAUGAUAGAAUCCAUGUCACUUGAGAAAUAGAAUUAUCUGAUUUAAUACUUAGUAAUCUAACUGCAACAAACAAUUUGGAAUACAUUGCGCCUUCAUAAAGAGGACAACUAGCUUCCUCUAACUACUUGAAGAAGCUCUUAGCCUCAUCAUUUGGUUUAGAUUGAGCCCCUGGGAACAUCUCAAAAGCAUCCCUCAUCAUUUCAUUGAAUCGAAAUUUUUUUACAUUAUUAUUCCCCGCUAUGGGACUAUCGUCUUCUCCACCAAAAGAAUUUUGAAAAUCAAUAUCAUUUACACUAGCAUGACUCUGCUCAUAAAUAGUCCACUCAUAAUAAUUUACCAUACACCCCUUCUUAUAUAGAUGAACAGUAAUAAUGUCGGAAGCCAAUAACUUAACUCACUUGCAUUUCACACAAGGACACCUAAUCGUCCCUUCAAUAAGGAAAUCAUCAAAUGUCUUUUCUUUACCAAUAAAGCCAGCAACCACUUCUAUAAAUUCUUCCCGCAAACCGUUACGAUUCGCAUGAUUCCUAUUGUACAACCAUCUACGAUGUGUAAAUUCCAUCUACACAUAGAAGAAAAUUAGAAAUUGAAAUAUUUAUGUUAUUUACCCUAAUCAAUAAAUUUUAUUCUUUAAAGGUUACUUAUCUAAAUAGUUUAAUUAUAUAUUUAAGUGUAAUUUGAUAUUUAUCUAUCUGAUUUAGUAAUCUAAAAAGGUUUUUGCAUUCAUCCAUACUCAUUGGUAAACUCAAAAGCAACAACAAGCGUUAAACAUUAUAUUCAAAAAACCUUAGCUUAAUACAAUUUCAAACCAAUGAGAUUAUUAUAUUUAAUAAACUUUAAUCUUACAAUUAUUUUGUAUAUUUACUUCACUAUUGUUUAAAGUAUAGAAGCUACAUAACAUAAAUAAUAUAAAAUACAAUUAAAUCCCUUUGAAAGAUGAAUCAAAAUUAAUGCUAUAAUUAUUCAACACACUACUUAAUGGUAACUGAAUAACAUAUAUACAUUACAAUGUGAAAAUAAAGUCAAAAUUGAAUAGUUUUAUUCCUAAUUUUAUAACAUAUAUAAUUUACCAUACCUUUCGAAGAUUACUCCUAUUGAAGAAGAAUAUAUAUCUCAACUUUCAAAAGAAGAUUAAUUUUAAUGUUACUCAAGGUUAAUUCACUUCUAAUUUUUUUAUUCAAAAGAAGAUUACUUUUAAUGUUACUCAAGGAUCUAAACAAUAGUUAUUCAAAGUCAAAAUUAAAUUAUUCUUCAUUUCAACUCUAAUUUCAAUUCUAAUCAUAUCAAACAAAAAAAUCUACAAUUCAAAUUUUAAUAGCAAUACAAAUAAAAAGAACAAAUAUAUUAACAUUCAAGUCCAGAGAAAGAUGAUGGAAGGACUUACCUCGCCAGAGAAGAUGCAUGCUGCCGGAGAAGACUCACGUUGCCGGAAAAGAUAUAAACACUACCUGAAAAAGAAAAAAAGAGGGGUUAGAAGGGGAGUUGGCCUUGACAGAGAUGAGGCGGAGAGGGAGGAAGGGAAAAAGAGAUAUAUACCGUCGGGCAAUUCGGCAACGACGACGUGGGAUGAACAAGUGGGCAAAGAGAGUGAAGGGGGCUAAGAUAAGAGAAAGAAAAGAGAAAGAGAAUAAAAAAA